UAAUGGCACAGGCAGGGAGCCCAGCCAACAGCGAGUUGCAGUAAUCCAGACGGGAGAUGACAAGUGCCUGGAUUAGGACCUGCGCUGCUUCCUGUGUGAGGCAGGGUCGUACUCUGCGGAUGUUGUAGAGCAUGAACCUACAAGAACGGGCCACCGCCUUGAUGUUAGUUGAGAACGACAGGGUGUUGUCCAGGAUCACGCCAAGGUUCUUAGCGCUCUGGGAGGAGGACACAAUGGAGUUGUCAACCGUGAUGGCGAGAUCAUGGAACGGGCAGUCCUUCCCCGGGAGGAAGAGCAGCUCCGUCUUGCCGAGGUUCAGCUUGAGGUGGUGAUCCGUCAUCCACACUGAUAUGUCUGCCAGACAUGCAGAGAUGCGAUUCGCCACCUGGUCAUCAGAAGGGGGAAAGGAGAAGAUUAAUUGUGUGUCGUCUGCAUAGCAAUGAUAGGAGAGACCAUGUGAGGUUAUGACAGAGCCAAAAAAAUCCCCAAAAUUGUUUGCAUAGUCAACUUACAUGUAACUCUGACACACACACUUACCGCAGCAGACAUGCCACCAGGGGUCUUUUCACAGUCCCCAAAUCCAGAACAAAUUCAAGAAAGUGUACCAUAUUAAAGAGAGACAUUAUUUCAUGGAACUCCGUUCCAUCUCAUAUUGCUCAAAUGAACAGCAUACCUGGUUAAAUUAUUAUUUUUUUUAAACACCUCACGGCACAACACCUCUCCCCUAUUUGAGCUAGUUUGUAUUGAUAUGUAGGCUGAGCUGUUCUUGUCUAUUAAUGUCUGUGUUUUGUGUGGACCUCAGGAAUAGUAGCUGCUGCUUUUGCAACAGCUAAUGGGGAUCCUAAUAAAAUACCAAUACCAAAAUAAGUUCUGUAAACAAUAACUCAUUUACCAUCAUUUUUUAAUUUAAAACAAGUUUACAUACACUUAGGUUGGAGUCAUUAAAACUUGUUUUUCAACCAGUCAACAAAUUUCUUGUUAACAAAUUAUAGUUUUGGCAAGUCGGUUAGGACAUCACUGUGUGCAUGACACAAGUAAUUUUUCCAGCAAUUGUUUACAGAUUAUUUCACUUAUAAUACACUAUAUCACAAUUACAGUGGGUCAGAAGUUUACAUACACUAAAUUGACUGACCCUUUAAUUAAACAGCUCGGAAAAUUCCAGAAAAUGAUGUCAUGGCUUUAGAAGCAACAUCUCAAGACAUCAGUCAGGAAGUUAAAGCUUGGUCGCAAAUGAGUCUUCCAAAUGGACAAUGACCCCAAGCUCAUAAAGUUGUGGCAAAAUGGCUUAAGGACAGCAAAGUCAAGGUAUUGGAGUGGCCAUCACAAAGCCCUGACCUCAAUCCUAUAGAAAAUGUGUUGGCAGAACUGAAAAAGCGUGUGCGAGCAAGGAGGCCUAUAAACCUGACUCAGUUACACCAGCUGUCAGGAAGAAUGGGCCAAAAUUCACCCAACUUGCUGUGAGAAUCUUGUGGAAGACUACCCGAAACAUUUGACCAAAGUUAAAUGAUUUAAAGGCAAUGCUACCAAAUACUAAUUGAGUGCAUGUAAACUUCUGACCCACCGGGAAUUUGAUGAAAGAAAUAAAACCUGAAAUAAAUAAUUCUAUCUAAUAUUAUUCUGACAUUUCACAUUCUUAAAAUAAAGGAUUACUAGGAUUAAAUGUCAGGAUUUGUGAAAAACUGAGCUUAAAUGUAUUUGGCUAAAUUGUAUGUAAACUUCUGACUUCAACUGUACAUUAAACAAAAAUAUGAACACAACCUGUAAAGUGUUGGUCCCAUGUUUCAUGAGCUGAAAGAAAAGUUUCCAGAAAAUGUCCAUAUCCACAAAAAGCUUUUUUUUCAAAAAACCUGUUCACAAAUGAGUUUAGAUCCCUGUUUUUGAGCACUUUUCCUUUGCCAAGAUAAUCCGUCUACUGUCUAGGUGUGGCAUAUCAAGAAGCUGAUGAAACGGCAUGAUAAUUACACAGGUGCACCUUGUGAAUUCCAAGAUGGCAUAGCAGUCAGAAGUCUUUUGUCCUUGUCUUGUCGUAUCCCGUGUAUAUAUCUUUUUGCCUUUUUUCUUUGCAUAUAUAUUUUUUUGUAUUUUUCUUAACCUCAACAUACUCUCUUGAAAUUCGCCUCACCCAAUGUGGUACGGUUCUGCUAUUUUCUUUACUUUUGAACCGGAACCCCCAACAGAAGCUAGCCAGCUACUAGCUAGUAGUCAGCUAGCCACUGCUAGCGGUCAUCAGCUACCUUUAGCCUGGAAAACUCUCGCCAGUCUGCACAGAGCGACUCAAACCAGAGCAAAUCUGACUUAUUUUUCACCAUAUCUCCGGAUUCCUACCGCAAGCUCUGUACCUUUUCACCUGGAUCAUCACAGCUAGCUAGCUGCUAUCCGAGUGGCCACUCCUGGCUAACGUCUCUGUCCCAAAGCAAGAACCAAUUAGCCUGGAGGUAGCCUUUGCUAGGCCCAUCUCCCGGCUAGCCAAAGAGGUCCAUCAGCCACUCCUUGUGCUACAAUACCUAUUUUGCCAAUUGGCCUGGACCCCUUUUACUGCCGACAAGGAGGCCCGCUGACCCAUCACGACUGGACUACCGACGUAAUUCACUCGAGGGUUUUUUUCAACUGGCUCCUCCAUCGUGACGUCCCCUGAAUGCCCAUCUGCUAACCUGGUAGCUGUGGCUAGCUGGCUGUCUAGAGCAUUUUGGACUGUUAGCUGAAGAGGCCCAUCGGACAAAUUCUUUGGCCACUAUACCUAUUUUGCCAAUUGGCCUGGACCCUUUUACCACACGGAGCUCUGCUGAUCCAUGACGACUGGUCUACAAACGUAACAGCACGAGGAUGACAGACUUAUUCCGUCGCGACGUCCCUCUAAGGCCCUUCUGCUAGACCCGGCCCGCUAGCUGUCUGAAUCGCUGUGUCUCCGGCCCACCGAGCUAAUCACUGGACCCCUAUGAUCACUCGGCUACGCAUGCCUCUCCCUAAUGUCAAUAUGCCUUGUCCAUUGCUGUUUUGGUUAGUAAUUAUUGCCUUUUUUCACUGUAGAGCCUCUAGCCCUGCUCAAUAUGCCUUAGAUAACCCUUUAGUUCCACCUCCCACACAUGCGGUGACCUCACCUGGUUUAAAUGAUGUGCCUAGAGACAAUAUCUUUCUCACCAUCCCUCAAUGCAUAGGUUGACAUCCACUGUAUUCACAUCCUACCAUACAUUUGUCUGUACAUUAUGCCUUGAAUCUAUUCUACCGUGCUCAGAAACCUGCUCCUUUUACUCUCUGUUCCGAACGUACUAGACGACCAGUUCUUAUAGCCUUUAGCCGUACCCUUAUCCUACUCCUCCUCUGUUCCUCAGGUGAUGUAGAGGUUAAUCCAGGCCCUGCAGUGCCUAGCUCCACUCCAUUCCCCAGGCGCUCUCAUUUGUUGACUUCUGUAACCGUAAAGGCCUUGGUUUCAUGCAUGUUAACAUUAGAAGCCUCCUCCCUAAGUUUGUUUUAUUCACUGCUUUAGCACACUCUGCUAACCUGGAUGUCCUAGCAGUGUCUGAAUCCUGGCUUAUGAAGACCACCAAAACCCUGAUAUUUCCAUCCUUAACUAUAACAUUUUCAGACAAAAUAGAACUGCCCAAGGGGGCAUAGUUGCAAUCUACUGCAGAGAUAGCCUGCAGAGUUCUGUCUUACUAUCCAGGUCUGUGCCCAAACAAUUUGAGCAUCUACUUUUAAAAAUCCACCUUUUCAGAAACAAGUCUCUCACCGUUGCCGCUUGCUAUAGACCACCUUCUGCCCCCAGCUGUGCCCUGGACACCAUAUGUGAAUUGGUUGCCCCCCAUCUAUCUUCAGAGCUCAUGCUGUUAGGUGACCUAAACUGGGACAUGCUUAACACUACACACUUAACACUACAUCCUACAAUCUCAGCUUGAUGCCCUCAAUCUCACACAAAUUAUCAAUGAACCUACCAGGUACAACACCAAAUCCGUAAAUACGGGCACCCUCAUAGAUAUCAUCUUAACCAACCUGCCCUCCAAAUACACCUCUGCUGUCUUCAACCAGGAUUUCAGCUAUCACUGCCUCAUUGCCUGCGUCCGUAAUGGGUCUGCGGUCAAACAACCACCCCUCAUCUCUGUCAAAACAUCUAUAAAACACUUCAGCGAGCAGGCCUUUCUAAUCAACCUGGCCCGGGUAUCCUGGAAGGAUAUUGACCUCAUUCCAUCAGUAGAGGAUGCCUGGUUAUUCUUUAAAAGUGCUUUCCUCACCAUCUUAAAUAAGCAUGCCCCAUUCAAAAACAUUUAGAACCAUGAACAGAUAUAGCGCCCCCCACAGCAACUUGCCCAAGCCUCCCCUAUUUCUCCUUCACCCAAAUCCAGAUAGAUGAUGUUCUAAAAGAGCUGCAAAAUCUGGACCCCUACAAAUCAGCCAGGCUAGACAAUCUGGACCCUCUCUUUCUAAAAUUAUCUGCCAAAAUUGUUACAACCCCUAUUACUAGCUUGUUCAACCUCUCUUUCGUAUCGUCUGAGAUCCCCAAAGAUUGGAAAGCUGUCGCGGUCAUCCCCCUCUUCAAAAGGGGGAGACACUCUAGAACCAAACUGCUACAGACCUAUAUCUAUUCUACCCGGCCUUUCUAAGGUCGUCGAAAGCCAAGUUAACAAACAUCACCAAUCAUUUCGAAUCCCACCGUACCUUCUCCGCUAUGCAAUCUGGUUUCCAAGCUGGCCAUGGGUGCACCUCAGCCACGCUCAAGGUCCUAAACGAUAUCAUAACCGCCAUCGAUAAGAGACAAUACUGUGCAGCUGAAUUCAUCGACCUGCCCAAGGCUUUCGACUCUGUCAAUCACCGCAUUCUUAUCGACAGACUCAAUAGCCUUUGUUUCUCAAUUGACUGCCUCGCCUGGUUCACCAACUACUUGUCAGAUAGAGUUCAGUGUGUCAAAUCGGAGGGCCUGUUGUCCGUACCUCUGGCAGUCUCUGGGGGUGCCACAGGGUUCAAUCCUCGGGCCGAAUCUUCUCUGUAUACAUUAAUGAUGUCGCUCUUGCUGCUGGUGAUUCUCUGAUCCACCUCUACGCAGACAAUACCAUUCUGUAUACUCCUGGCCCAUCUUUGGACACUGUGUUAACCAACCUCCAGACGAGCUUCAAUGCCAUACAACUCUCCUUCCGUGGCCUCCAUCAGCUCUUCAAAUCAAGUAAAAUUAAAUGCAUGCUCUUCAACCAAUCGCUGCCCACACCUGCCCGCCCGUCCAGCAGCACUACUCUGGACGGUUCUGACUUAGAAUAGGUGGACAACAACAAAUACCUAGGUGUCUGGUUAGACUGUAAACUCUCCUUCAAGACUCACAUUAAGCAUCUCCAAUCCAAAAUUAAAUCUAGAAUCGGCUUCCUAUUUCACAACAAAGCAUCCUUCUCUCAUGUUGCCAUACCUUCGUACAACUGACCAUCCUUCCGAUCCUUGACUUUGGCGAUGUCAUUUACAAAAUAGUCUCUAACACUCUACUCAGCAAAUUGGAUGCAGUCUAUCACAGUUCCAUCCGUUUUGUCACCAAAGCCCUAUAUACUACCCACCACUGCGACCUGUACACUCUCGUUGGCUGGCCCUUGCUUCAUAUUCGUUACCAAACCCACUGGCUCCAGGUCAUCUAUAAGUCUUUGCUAGGUAAAGCCCGCCUUAUCUCAGCUCACUGGUCACCAUAGCAGCACUCACUCGUAGCACGCUCUCCAGCAGGUAUAUUUCACUGGUCACCCCUAAAGUCAAUUCCUCAUUCGUCCGCCUUUCCUUCCAGUUCUCUGCUGCCAAUGACUUGAACAAACUGCAAAAAAAAUCCCUGAAGAUGGAGACUCAAAUCUCCCUCACUAUCUUUAAGCACCAGCUGUCAGAGCAGCUCACAGAUCACAGUACCUGUACAUAGCCCAUCUGUAAAUAGCCCAUCCAACUACCUCAUCCCCAUAAUGUUAUUUAUUUUGCUCCUUUGCACCCCAGUAUCUCUGCUUGCAUACUCAUCUUCUGCAGAUCUAUCACUCCAGUGUUUAUUUGCUACAUUGUAAUUAUUUUGCCACUAUGGCCUAUUUAUUGCCUUACCUCCCUUAUCCUACCUCAUUUUCACACACUGUAUGUAGACUUUUUCUAUUGUAUUAUUGACUGUAUGUUUGUUUAUUCCAUGUGUAACUCUGUGUUGUUGUUUGUGUCGCUAUACUUUGCUUUAUCUUGGCCAGGUCGCAGUUGUAAAUGAGAACUUGUUUUCAACCAGCCUACCUGGUUAAAUAAAGGUGAAAAUAAAAUUAAAAGAAAAAACUUUAUUGUGGGACAAUAAAAGGCCCCUCUAAAAUGUGCAGUUGUGUCACACAACACAAUGCCACAGAUGUCUCAAGUUGAGGGAGUGUGCAAUUUGCAUGCUGAUUGCAGGAAUGUCCACCAGAGCUGUUGCCAGAGAAUGUAAUAUUAAUUUCUCUACCAUAAGCCUUAGAGAAUUUGGCAGUACGCCCCAACUGGCCACACAACUGCAGACCACGUGUAAGGCGUUGUGUGGGCAAGCGGUUUUCUGAUGUCAACUUUGUGAACAGAGUGCCCAAUGGUGGCGGUGGGGUUAUAGUAUGGGCAGGCUUACGUUUUGGACAACGAACACAAUUGCAUUUUAUCGAUAGCAAUUUGAAUGCACAGAGAUACAGUGACAAUAUCCUGAGGCCCAUUGUUUCAGCAUGAUAAUGCACCAGACAUGUUACCCAUUGACAAAGUUUGGGAUGCUCUGGAUCGAUGUGUAUGACAGCAUGUCAUAGCUCCCUCCAAUAUCCAGCAACUUCGCACAACCAUUGAAGGGGAGUGGGUCAACAUCCCACUGACCACAAUCAACAGCCUGAUCAACUCUAUGCGAAGGAGAUGUGUCGCACUGCAUGAGGAAAAUGGUGGUCACACCAGCUACUCCCUGCUUUUAUGAUCCAUGCCCCUACAUUGUUUUAAGGCUGUAUUCCCAGUUGUGAAAUCCAUAGAUUAGGCACUCAUGAAUUUAUUUCAAUUGACCGAUUUCCUUAUAUGAACUGUAACUCAGUAAAAUCUUUAACUGUUGAAUUUAUAUUUUGUUCACUAUAUAUUGCGUGAACAUCAAUGGAAUAUUAUGUUAAACCGAAAACAACUAUGCUAUGAACGUCAUAAAAACGGACUUAUUUGAAAUUGUGAAACAUUGUGCAACAUUGUGGUAAUGUCCUGUGCAACCUAAAUGAAUAUCACAAUAAUAUUCUUGCAACAUCCCAGACAACUCGCAUAACUUAAUGAAAGGUUCUGUCAACAUUCUUAUAACAUUACAUGAAUGUCAUCACAACUGAGCAUAUUUUGAGCUUUGGGAACCUAUCUCUUGUAAUGUACCCACAACAUCAAAGGAAUGAUUCAUGUACCCUGAUACGAACAUUAUUUAAAUGCACAACUGAACUGGACAGUUUUACAGUUUUAGUCUUUCGGGAACCUAGUCAUAUGAAAUCAAAUUUCAUUUGUCACAUGCUCUGAAUACAACGGGUGUAGUAGACCUUACCGUGAAAUGCUUACUUACAAGCCCUUAACAAACAAUGCAAUUCAAUAAAUAAAGUUUUAAAAAUGUAUUCUUUAUAAACUGAAGUGAAAAAAAUAAAUAAAAAAUAAACAAGAAAAUGACACAACUUGGCUAUAUACAGGGUGUAUCGGUACCGAGUCGAUGUGCGGGGGUACAGGUUAGUGGAGUUAAUUUGUAAAGUGACUAUGCAGCGAGUCCGGGUGGCCAUUUGAUUAAUUGUUCAACUUUCUUAUGGCUUGGUGGUAGAAGCUGUUAUUAAGGAGCCUUUUGGUCCUAGACUUGGCUCUCUGGUACCGCUUGCCAUACGGUAGCAGAGAGAACAUACUAUGACUUGGGUGACUAUGUCUGACAAUUUUUUGGGCCUUCCUCUGACACUGCCUAGUAUAUAGAUCCUGGAUGUCAGGAAGAUUGGCCCCAGCGAUGUACGCAUCCUCAUUUUGCCCUGUAGCGCCUAAUGGUCAGAUGCUGAGCAGUUGCCAGUACCAGGCGGUGAUGCAACCGGUCAGGAUGCUCUCGAUGGUGCAGCUGGGGACCCAUGACAAAUCUUUUCAGUCUCCUGAGGGGGAAACGUUGUUGUCGUGCCCUCACAACAUUCUUGAUGUGUUUGGACCAUGAUAGUUUGUUGGUGAUGUGGACACCAAGGAACUUGAAACUCUCAACCCGCUCCACUUCAGCCAUGUAGAUGUUAAUGGGGGUCUGUUCGGCCCUCCUUGGCCCUCCUUUUCCUAUAGUCCACGAUCAGCUCCUUUGUCUUGUUCACAUUGAGGGAGAGCUUUUUGUCCAGGCACUAAACUGCCAGGUCUCUGACAACCUAAAGAAACAUUCUGGGAACUUUUAAUAAAAGAACAGACGAAAUGUGUUUGAGGAACAUUCUUGCAACAUCAGGUGAAUGUUUUUUGCAUCAUAAAAUAAACAUUGUAGAAUAAUCUGCACAACUGGAAAGUCUAUUUUUUAAGAACAUUUAUUUUGUGAUGUCCCAAAAAAUUUUUGCAUCAGACUUUACCACAACCUAAUGCAACAUUCUGGGAACGUUUAAAAUAACAGAUUAAAUGUGUUCCAUGUACAGUAUGUUUUCGCAACAUCAGGCAAAUGUUUUAUACAAACAUUCUAUAAUCAUCAGCAUGACUGGACAGUUUGUGUUUUGGGAACAUAUCUUUUGUGAUGCACCCAUAAUGUUCCCACCAGACUGUUCCCACAACAUAAUGAAAGAUUCUGGGGACCUUGAAAGAACAGACUAAAUGUGUUCUGGGAAUGUUCUUGCAACAUUAGGCUAAUGUUUAAUAAAGCAUUCUAUAAUCAUCAGCAUAACUGGACAGUUUUGUGUUAUGAGAACAUUUGCCGCGACCUAAUCAAUGUUCUGGUAACUUCCACAGAGCCAAUUGACUUGCUGGGUGGGCUGUGAACCACUGACGGAGUAUACUGCCUGACAAAACGGAAUGAUACUGUAUGUAGGGGAUCAAAGGACCAUGAGUUAGUAACCACUACAGGUUGUCUGGUAAAAUAAAUAUAAAUGUGCUCAAAUAACAGUACAGAGCUGAAUAAUGAUUAAACAACAUGAAUACCAUCAACAUGAGCAAUUUACAUGAAUAGGAAAAUAGCUAGCCGAGCAGCAUGACAAACUCAAUGCUAACCAAAUGCAAGCGAAUCCUGAUAGAGAAAUGCUCACGAUAGCAAUCUAUCAUUAACUACUAACAAAAGACAUACAACUCAGCUCAUAAUAUGUAUACAGGUUUAGGAAAAACACAUUUUGCCACAUGCACAAACAAUAAUUGGACAGCGGGUGAUCUUGGUUCAAGAGAUUGAGUUCAGCAGAGGAGCAGGUCAUGUGUCUCAUCAAGAUGGAGAAAAUACAGAAUGUUUCACUUCUCUAAUGAAGAGGGUGUCCUGAAAUUGACUGCUGGCAGGCUCACACCAAUAGGGAGAUUUUUGAAUCAGCAUUUGGGGACUCUGAACUUUGUUAGAUACAAAAUAAGUGGAUUAACCAUCAACACAUUUGAGAAUAGCAAGGACAAAGCAGGUCACGUAUAAUGAAAACAUUUACCAGUAAUGGCAGCAUGUAUGCUAUCCAGAGAAUGUUUGUAUCAAAGAGCACAUGUAGGCUAACUGAUGAGGUGGGAUUCAACCUUCCAAUAUAUGAGGGCAAUACUAUUUGCCACCGGAGCAAUCUUUGAAGUAUGAUUGAUUAGCUAGUGAAGCACCACCAGAGCGGAGUACGAGGCUCAGCUUGGCGAGUAUCGCAGUGCCCUGGAGACGCUCACCUUGGACACCAUCAAACUGGAGAUCGAGCUGGACAACAUUCGCGGAAUGCCCACGAAUUCAAAGUCAAACAGAAUAGAUACAGACAGCUACUGCCAAGAGUUCAGAGGCUGUCUCAGAGGCCAAGAUGGAAAUCUCAGGGGCCUGGAAGGAGCUGCAGGCGCUCAGUCUAGAGUUCCAAUGCCUGGUCACUUCAAACAUGUCCCCGGAGCAGAACUUUGCGGAAGCUCAGUCCUAGUUCAACAUGGGUGUGGCAGGGUACCAUGCUCAGAUCUCCAGCUUGAUGUUGGCCAUUGAGGUGUCCAAAACUGACCUCCACAACCAGAUCCUGGACUACCAUGAGCUUCUGGACGUUAAGCUGGCUCUGGACGUGGAGGUCUCAACCAACAACCUGCUGGAAGGAGACGAUCUCAAGUAGGUAUAAGCACUACAUACAGUAUUAAAGCUGGUUUAUCAGUGCAAUCCAAGUCUAUGUCAGCCAGCUCAGCUAACGCCUAUAGGCUUUACACGACUGUGGUGUAAGGUGAACGCAUGUGUACUCAUGUAGUCAAAUAUAAGAUAAUGUAAUUUAAAAAGACUGUAAGGAAGCUGUUAACGCUCAUAUAACGCUCAUAUUUUCAUACUGGGGAGAUGGCCCAGUCAGACCACCACCUGACGGAUGGUCAGUAGUGCCGGGGCCACAUGAACUGACCUGUUUUCACCUGUAGGGGGCAGGAGUCCUGGGGUGUGUAGGGUAGACAUAGCCCUCACUCACCUUCACAUUUCCAUCCUGCAGGCUGGGACUCCCCCUUACCUUGUGCCUUUGUAUCUAGCCUGGGCAGGUUUCCACACGUAGAGGGAGCAUCAGGGUAGGAGAAUGGUUGCCUCGCUGAUUUGGAAAACUGUCUGGACUUUCUAGUCAUAUUUUCUCUGAGCGAUUUGAUAGCUAUUUUGUCUGUUUUAACAAAUAUCUCAUUGACAAAUGUACAUUGUGAACUGAAGAACUAACUUCAACCUGGUACAGCCAGAGGAGGCUAGGCCUCCCCUUUUGAGUCUGGCUCCUCUCAAGGUUUCUUCCUUUUAGGGAUAUCUCCUUGCUAUCUCUUCUGUGAUCUUUCUUUAUCCCCACACCCCAUUUUCCUUUCAUAUCUCUCUUUCUCGAGUAGGAGGAAGGGGUUUUCAAGUUAAAGAUAUCACGUCAGUCAGUCAUUUUGAUAUGGUAUCUUGACUUCAAUGUGUCAUAACAUGUUAUGCAAUUUUGACACCAUUAAACAUAUACAAUCCUUCUGCAUGUUAUCAUGUCAGGCUAUUAGUUAAUAUAAAAUAAAUGCAUAGAUAUGCAUGUAUAUAAUGUGAAGUGAAUACACAUGCAGCUCAAAGACCUACCAGCUCUCAGUCUCAUGUCAGAAUUAGAUGUUCAUCCAUGUUUCUCAAACAUCACAUUUAGAAUUAUUUAAGGUCAAGUUUAGGCAUUAACUCUUAAUUUUUAAGGUUAGGAUUAAGUUCAGGCAUUAAUCCACAUUUUUAAGAGUAGGCAUUAACUCCAAAUGGUUAAGGUAAGGCUGGAGGUUUGGGACAGCGAUAGAAAGUUGUUUUUGAACUUGCAACCUUUGGAAUCAGAGGCAAAUGCUUACACCCAACCGCCAUCACUGUCCACAACGCCAUAGCAAAACCGAAACCUACUUAAAGGUAACAGGUUACAUGUCAUCUCCCGACGUCCUCAAACAUGGAUGGACAUCGACUACUGACUUGUGUCACGGGUGACCUGGCUGUAAAAGACAGUGUUCUAGAGCAGUGCUUCCCUAUAAUUUCCCUUCUUGUGCUAAAUGUACUCAUUAAACCCUACUUAUUAAUCCUUCCACUUAGAACACAGUGAAUCUGAAUCUAGAGGAUUCCACCUCUAGACAGGUGGAUAUUCAGUUACUAAAGUGAGUCAACUUACCCUCUAGCUUCUCUGUCAAUUUAUGCCCAAUUUUUAGACUACCCAAUAAACAUUGCAUCUUAGAUCUGGCCCUCUGUUCAUUUAUGUUUGCUUAUGUGUUAAUGCUGUUACAUUAUAAGGUUUUGCAGAUGUUCUUAUUUUCAAUACAUUUUUUAAAACUCAUCAUUUCAUAUGUGGAUGUGUGAGUGAGUGUCAGUGCCCUGCUCAAGUUACUGUGUUUCGAUUUGAAAUUUGAGUUGCAUAAUUGUUGUUUGUGAGUAGAAAAGGAUAGGGGAGGAGCAUGUAAGAACGUUAGGGUGUGCUUCUCUCUGUCAUCUCUACCCUGUUCCUCAAAUAUCGUAGCUUUUGUGGUCUGCUCUUGGCAUGCAAGGCCCCAGAGAAAGUACACCACACAAUGUUCUAGACAGUACAGCCACUGGUAAACAGGUUGAGAGAGAGAGAACGUCACAACCAACCCCACCCGCAACUGCUGUGAAACUUUGUCACGCUAUGCAGGACUGACUGUUGCCACGACAACCCUGUUUGUAUGUGGGGUUUCCAUUUAUGAGGUUUAGAUCUUUUUUGUUGUUGCACUGAAUCAAAUCAUGCAUAUUUAUUUAUGAAGUAUCAGUUGAGAACCUGUAGCUGUACUGGAUGUUUUAGCAAAACAAUUAGCUAACGUAGCGUAUUGUAGGUAAUUAUUGGGUUUACAGGUACAUGAUUUUCAGUAUAUACUUACAUUUGUAUUAAGUUAUAGUAAUAAGAACACUUAAGUUUUAGUAGUGCUACCAAAAUUACAAACUUCAAAAUAUGUUUGAGUACUGCACGGAAGCAUUAGGAAAGCUAAACUAACUAUUGAAAAAGUGAGGAAUUAAACAAAUUGGGCUAUGGCUUGUGAAAUCUAGGCAGCUACUGUAUGUCCUCCGUAGGCUUAGAGCUGCCAAUAUAAUUCUAAAGACACGUGUAGAGCCUGCAAGCGGCACAUUGCCCUACAUGCUGCUAGGUGCUAACCACUUCUUAUUUUAGGCUACUAGCGUUGGCCACAGUUUUUCCUCUCGUUCUUCACUUUCUGUGUGCAACUGCGUGGGUACUAGGUCGAAAUAACAUUUUGUGACAUUGGUUUCUGAGGUGGGCAUUGAGUACAUUGCAUUCCUUUGAAUGUGAUUUUCUGGAUUUUUUCCCCUCAUUUUGUCUGUCAUAGUUGAAGUGUACCUAUGAUGAAAAUUACAGGCCUCUCAUCUUUUUAAGUGGGAGAACUUGCACAAUUGGUGGCUGACUAAAUACUUUUUUGCCCCACUGUAAGUAUUCACACUCCUGAGUCAUUACAUGUUAGAAUCACCUUUGGAUGCGAUUACAGCUGUGAGUCUUUCUUGGUAAGUCUCAAAGUGCUUUCCAAACAUUCUCAGGUCUUUGCCAUAGAUUUUCAAGCAGAUUUAAGUCAAUUAUAACUCAGGAACAUUCAAUGUAUUCUUGGCAAGUAACUCCAGUGUAUAUUUAGCCUUGUGAUUUAGGUUAUUGUCCUGCUGAAAGGUGAAUCAACCUCCCAGUGUCUGGUGGAAAGCAGACUGAACCAGGUUUUCCUCUAGGAUUUGACCUACGCUUAGCUCUUUUCCAUUUAUUUUUUAUCCUGAAAAUCUCCCCAGUCCUUAACGAUUACAAGCAUACCAAUAACAUGAUGCAGCCACCACUAUGCUUAAAAAUAUGGAGAGUGGUGCUCAUUACUGUGUUGUACUAGAAUUGCCACUUAGUAUUCAGGAAAAAAAGCUCAUAGCUUUGCCACAUUUUUUGCAUUAUUACUUUAGUGCCUUGUUGCAAACAGGAUGCAUGUUUUGGAAUAUUUUAUUUCUGUACAGGCUUCCUUUUCACUCUGUCAAUUACGUCAGUAUUGUGGAGUGACUACAAUGUUGUUGAUCCAUCCUCAGUUUUCGCCUAUCACAACCAUUAAACUCUGUAACUGUUUAAAGGCACCAUUGGUCUCAUGGUGAAAUCCCUGAGCGGUUUCCUUCAUCUCUGGCAACUGAGUUAGGAAGGACGCCUGUAUCUUUGUAGUGACCGGGUGUGUAAUUAAUAACUUCACCAUGCUCACAUGCUCAAAGGGAUAUUCAAUGUCUGCUUUUUUUUUUUUUUUUAACCCAUCCACCAAGAGGUGCCCUUCUUCGCAUGGCAUUGGAAUUCACUGUUUGACUGAGGGAACUUCUAGAUAAUUGUAUGUGUGGGAUCAUGUUAAACACUAUUAUUGCACACACAGUUAGUCCAUGCAAGUUAUUAUGUGACUUGUUAAGAACAUUUUUACUGCUGAACUUAUUUAGGCUUGCCAUAACAUAGGGGUUGACAUUUCAGCUUUUUCUUUUUUAUUAAUUUGUAAACAUUUCUAAAAGCAUAAUUCCCACUUUUACAUUAUGGGACAUUGUAUGUAGGCCAGUGACAAAAAUCUAAGUUUAAUCCAUUUUAAAUGCAGGCUGUUACACAACAAAACGUGAAAAAAGUCAAGGGGUGUGAACACUUUCUGAAGGCACUGUAUCAGUUUAAUAAAGCUAAAUCAACAACAUGAUGUAGGAUUGGUACACUCCUGCUAUCUCUAACCACACCAGAUGUGUGCACGUGCGUGCCAUGUCCUCUGUGAACGUAAACAGAGAGAAAAGACGUACCCACACUGGCCCACUUCCUCUUUUGUGCUCUAUUAUUCUCUGAAUGUAAACAGAUGCCUAACUAUAGCUAUGGUUCACUGUUCUAAAUAUCCACUGUCCGAUGAAGUCCACAAAGCAUAUUGAAUGUAACAAAUAGUUACUUAAAAAAAAUUGAUUUAACCUUUACUUAAGGUAAGUCACACAGUAUGGUCGCGACACCACGUGACAACAACAUUGCAGCAACACAGUAUUGUCGCGACACCACGUGACAACAACAUGGCAGCAACACAGUAUGGUCACGACACCACAUGACAACAACAUGGCAGCAACACAGUAUGGUCGCGACACCACGUGACAACAACAUGGCAGCAACACAGUAUGGUCGCGACACCACUUGACGACAACAACAUGGCAGCAACACAGUAUGGUCGCGACACCACGUGACAACAACAUGGCAGCAACACAGUAUGGUCGCGACACCACAUGACAACAACAUGGCAGCAACACAGUACAAACAUUAUUCUAAAGACAACAGCACAAAGGCAAGAAGGUAAAGACAACAAUACAUCAUGCGAAGCGACCACAACUGUCAGUAAGUGUCCAUGAUUGAGUCUUUGAAUGAAGAGACUGAGAUAAAACUGUCCAGUUUGAGUGUAUUUUUUUGCGGCUUGUUCCAGUCGCUAGCUGCAGCUAACUGAAAAGAGUGACCCAGGGAUGUGGGUGCUUUUGGGACCUUUAACAGAAUGUGACUGGCAGAAUGGGUGUUGUAUGUGAAGGAUGAGGGCUGCAGUAGGUAUCUUCGAUAAGGGGGGAGUGAGGCCUAAGAGGGUUUUAUAAAUAAGCAUCAACCAGUGGGUCUUGCGACAGGUAUACAGAGAUGACCAGUUUACAGAGUAGUAUAGAGUGCAGUAAUGUGUCCUAUAAGGAGCAUUAUUGGUGGAAAAUCUGAUGGCCGAAUGGUAAAAAACAUCUAGCCACUCGAGAGCACCCUUUACCUUCCGAUCUAUACAUUACGUCUCCAUAAUCUAGCAUGGGUAGGGUGGUCAUCUGAUUCAGGUUUAGUUUGACAGCUGGGGUGAAAGAGGAGCGAUUACGACAGAGGAAACCAAGUCUAGAUUUAGCCUGCAGCUUUAAUAUGUGCUGAGAGAAGGACAGUGUCCCGUCUAGUCAUGCUCCCAAGUACUUGUAUGAGGUGACGACCUCAAGAUCUAAACCCUCAAAGGUAGUAAUCACACCGCUGAAGAGAGGGUAUUCUUCUUACCAAACCACAUGACUUUUGUUUUGGAGGUGUCCAGAACAAGAUUAAGGGCAGAGAAAGCUUGUUGGACACUUAGAAAGCUUUGUUGUAGAGCGUCAGGGAAGGGCCAGCUGAGUAUACAUGACCUACAGCAUGGUCAAGCAAGAUAAUUUUUCAGACUACUAAACAACUAUUGAUUUAGAACAACGGAAAGUUACGACAAGUCGGAAAGAAAACAGGAGCUGCCUCCACUAUUCCAGAACCAUUUCACCUUCAACUUUUCAAGAUCAUCAAAUCAAAUAUGCUUAGUCUAAUACAGUGACAACUAAAUUAUACCAAAAACAAUUUAGUCCAAUCAACAUAAGCUAAAUAUGAUUUGGCUGUCCAUGGUUCUGAUUUUGUGUGUGCGUAGGUAUUUUUAUGCAAGUACAAAAAACAUGUUGACUCACCUUACUUGUAGAGAAACGCCAAUGCCAUCCUCCUCUCUUUCAUGUUGACUCACCUUACUUGUAGAGAAACGCCAAUGCCAUCCUCCUCUCUUUCAUGUUGACUCACCUUACUUGUAGAGAAACGCCAAUGCCAUCCUCCUCUCUUUCAUGUUGACUCACCUUACUUGUAGAGAAACGCCAAUGCCAUCCUCCUCUCUUUCAUGUUUACUCACCUUACUUGUAGAGAAAUGCCAAUGCCAUCCUCCUCUCUUUCAUGUUGACUCACCUUACUUGUAGAGAAACGCCAAUGCCAUCCUCCUCUCUUUCAUGUUGACUCACCUUACUUGUAGAGAAACGCCAAUGCCAUCCUCCUCUCUUUCAUGUUGACUCACCUUACUUGUAGAGAAACGCCAAUGCCAUCCUCCUCUCUUUCAUGUUGACUCCUUCAUACAGUACACUUUUUGUUUUUGUUGUCAUAGACUACCUGGCUAAAAUGCUAAUCUAACUUCCUUUCAUGGGCAAUGAUGCACCACGCCAGCUAGUUAAGUAAUUCUGAAAAGAAUAAUGGGAAAAUAUUUCACAAUCCAGGCGGACAAAUAUCAUACCCCCAAGACAUGCUAACCUCUCACCAUUACAAUAACAGGUUAGCAUAUUUAUGCCUCUGUAACUUUCUCAUUCGUCAUUAUUCACGAUUAAUUCAGGAUUAUCCGUAAUCAUGGUAGCAUCGACACUAAUACAGAAGUGUUUAGAAACACUAUUCUUCUAUUCUUUUUUGCAAUAAAAGUGCCUCAAUACAUUAUUUACCAUUUUGAUUGGGCACAAAAUAAUCUGAAACACCACCAAAAGAAAAAGUUAAAAGAGUCACAAGCUUGAUGUAAGCAUUACAUGCUAGGAAUAUGGGACCAAAUACACAACUUUUGAUUACUUUAAUACACACACGUGGAUUUCCUAACUAAUAUUUUUGGUCACCUAAAAGGGGGAGGGGGGAACUACUAUGUACAAAAAGUGCAGUAAUUUCUACACAGUUCACCUGAUAUGGAUGAACAUAUCCUAAAAUUAAAGCUGACAGUCUGUACUUUAACUUCAUACAACAACAAACAAAUUCACUGUCCCAAUACUUUUGCUGUGCAUUCAGGAAGCAAAACAUUUUGUUAGGUUACAGCCUUAUUCGAAGAUGGAUUAAAUAAAAACAUUUCCUCGUCAAUCUACACACAAUGCCCCAUUAUGAAAAAGUGAAAACAGGUUUUUAGAAAUGUUUGCAAAUGUAUUAAACAUAAAAAAUUGAAAUACCACAUUACCAUAAGUAUUCAGACCUUUUACUCAGUACUUUGUUUAAGCACCUUUUGGCAGCAAUUACAGCCUCGAGUCUCCUUGGGUAUGAUGCUAUAAGCUUGGCACAUCUGUAAUCGGGGAGUUUCACCCAUUCCUCUCUGCAGAUCCUCUCAAGCUCUGUCCGGUUGGAUGGGGAGUGUUGCUGCACAGCUAUUUUCAGGUCUCUCCAGAGAUGUUUGAUCGGGUUCAAUUUCAGCUCUGGCUGGGCCACUCAAGGACAUUCAGAGACUUGUCCCAAAGCCAAUUCUGCAUCGUCUUGGCUGUGUGCUUAUGGUCGUUGUCCUGUUGGAAGGUGAACCUUUGCCCCAGUCUGAGGUCCUGAGCGCUCUGGAGCAGGUUUCAAUCAAGGAUCUCUGUACUUUGCUCCAUUCAGCUUUGCCUCGAUCCUGACUAGUCUCCCAGUCCCUGCCUCUGAAAAACAUCCCCACAGCAUGAUGCUGCCACCACCACGCUUCACCGUAGGGAUGGUGCCAGGUUUCCACCAGAGGUGACGCUUGCCAUUCUGCUGCAAUUGCCUGCUGCUCUUCACUGACAUCGUAGUCACCAGACCUGAGCCCUAGGACCAUGACUUAGGACUACCUGGCCUGAUGACUCCUUGCUGUCCCCAGUCCACCUGGCCAUGCUGCUGCUCCAGUUUCAACUGUUCUAGCUGCGGCUAUGGAACUCUGACCUGUUCAACGGACGUGCCAGCUGUCCCAGACCUGCUGUUUUCAACUCUCUAGAGACAGCAGGAGCGAUAGAGAUACGCUUAAUGA